rnacentral:rRNA from 1 species
AUUGAACGCUGGCGGCAGGCCUAACACAUGCAAGUCGAACGCGUGGCGGACGGGUGAGGAAUGUCUGGGAAACUGCCUGAUGGAGGGGGAUAACAACUGGAAACGGUCGCUAAUACCACAUACCACAGGAUGUGCCCAGAUGGGAUUAGCUAGUAGGUGGGGUAAAGGCUGACCUAGGCGACGAUCUCUAGCGGGUCUGAGAGGAUGACCAGCCACACUGGAACUGCGACACGGUCCAGACUCCUACGGGAGGCAGCAGUGGGGAAUAUUGCACAAUGGGCGCAAGCCUGAUGCAGCCAUGCCGCGUGUAUGAAGAAGGCCUUCGGGUUGUAAAGUACUUUCAGCGGGGAGGCGUUACCCGCAGAAGAAGCACCGGCUAACUCCGUGCCAGCAGCCGCGGUAAUUC